AAUUAGUCAUUCUUACCCUUGCUUACCUCACAGGGACAUGGGCCUGCCUUAUUUGGAGGAAGAAUUGCCGAAAUAUAUGGAGCCAUUCAAAGAUGGAUGAUGCCGAGCCUUGGAUGGUAACCAGGAAGACCAAUAAUGGAAAACACACUUGGAGAGGUGGUAUGUUAUGAAGAAACUUGGGAGUUGUUCAGCCAGCUUCCAGUUUGCUAUUCAUACAGCCAGCCGAGUAUGGAGGAGGCUGGGAGAUGAGUCUAUUCUAAAAUGGUAAGUCUGGGAGUUCCCAUUGUGGCUCAGUGGUAACCAAGCCAGCUAGUAUCCAUGAGGAUGCGGAUUUGAUCCCUGGCCUUGCUCAGUGGGUUAAGGAGCCAGUAUUGCCAUGAGCUGUGGUGUAGGUUGCAGAGGUGGUUGGGAUCUGCUGUUGCUGUGGCUGUGGUAUAGGGUCGCAGCUACAGCUCCAGUUGAACCCCUAGCCUAGGAACUUCGUAUGCAUGGUUGUGACCCUUAAAAAAAAAAAGAUAUGUCUGUUUCCCUGGUGAAUAUAUGUAACUAUGUUUUUGUCCAUUGAAAGGCAUCCCUGCAAUACAAGCCAUAGAAGUUUAGUA
rnacentral:lncRNA from 1 species